CGUGUCCUCCCCUCCCCAGCAGGAAAGAGCUGGCAGAGUGGCCACGGGUGCAUUUUAGGACACGAGUGCCCUGCCGUGCCUCUCGGUCUGCCUGUGCACAAGCCCCAGUGCCGAGCUACACCGUCACCAACCCUGCCUUCUCCAGAAGCAUUAACUUAUGCACACACCAUUCACCAAUUGUUCAGCGUUUUUGUCAAUGAAUCCACAUUUUAUGAAUUAGAACAGACCAUGCCCCCUUGUGGCUUGACUUGGCUCCCUUUUCCAGGCUGCGAGCCCCCUCAGCACCCGAGUUGGGGUGACUCCGGUGGGGAGAGGUCGUGCUGGACCCUGCCCCUCGGCCACAGAUAUCCCCCGGAGGGGGUGUCCGGGCGUCUGAGCGCCGAGCCGAGGGGACAGCGUGCGAGAAACAGCGGCUGCUGAAGGAGGAGGAGAGGGAUAUUUAUUUCUCCACAGCUUUAGGAAGGGUUUAGCUAAUUUAAUCGGGCUGAAAAGCAGCGCGGCUGACACGCAGGCAGAAUGCAGUCCCCUGGUUAUCCGUGGAGCAGGUACAGCAGAGUAAAUGGCUCCUGCCUGACCUAUAUGGCUCUGACGUUCGCUAGAGAGCACGGGUGGAGCUGAUGCUUCGCAGCCUUCCCUCUCCUAACCCCUUCCAGUCCCUAACACGGGAUUUUCUAGGUUACGGUAGCACUUUAAUUACCUGAACCAGUUUCUGCUGAGACCCGAAAUGAUCCCCACGACCUAAAGCACAGAGGGAAUCCUGAGGGGACCUGGGUACGGCGCUUUGAUUUGGGGACUGAAAGAACAAAGUGCACCCACCACGGGAGGAGAGGCGAAACCGCCGGUGCAGAGCCCGCAGAUGAAACCGAUUUACAAUUAGGGUCACAUCCCGCAGUCAUCACUCACAGCAAAACCCAAGGAAAGGGAAGGAAGAACAAACCUCCCCAAGCCAGCGAGAGCCCCAGCACCGCAGGUUUGUCAUCUGCUGGCCUGUGCCUGGGGCUGGAGCGGGGCCCUGAGCCCGGCCACCGCGUCUCGCCUUGCCUCGGCGAGGCUGUGCACAGCCAGCACUUGGUUCUGCACCUCCUGGGGGCCGUGUGGCUGAAUUAUUGAUGGCGGGAGGUGAAAAGCAAUAAACAAGAAAUCAGCCAAAUUGCUAGCGUGAGGGAAGAACAGGAAUGCAGCAGAGGAAAGCAGCUUCCUAAGAUGUCUUCCUUGGGGCCAGGGGUUCCCAGGAAGAGAAGGGGAGUCAGCACUUGGAGGAAAAACCAUAAGCACCACCUGUUCACAGGAGAAAAUUACCAGGACUGCAGCUGAGGGCUGCAAAUUUCACCUCUGCUUUCCAAAGGUACAACACACACGAUGCUGUCCAGGAGAAGGCAAAGGUGGUUUUGCCCUGAUGGAUUUGGAGCUCCUGUGAGAGAUGUCUGGGGGGCAGCUUUGGGUAGCAAAAGCAUCCUGAGGCUGUGAUAUAGCCCGGAAUAUCUUUGGUGCUCCAUGCUACAUAGAUAUUAACUCUGCCACAUCCCUUGUCUCACGGCCACUAAACUAAUGAAGGAAUUAGCACAAAGAUGCCUCUACCGAGAUGCAGCUUUCCCUGACGUUGGCGGCACCACUCCCGCCCUGUUUGCCAGCAGAAAUGGGAGCAGAGCAGAGAGGUCGGGGGAUUUUCCCUUUUGCUCACAAACACACUUGGCCUGAUAUUUCUCCCCCCUGAAGAAAU